GGGUUGUGAGGUUAAGCGACUAAGCGUACACGGUGGAUGCCCUGGCAGUCAGAGGCGAUGAAGGACGUGCUAAUCUGCGAUAAGCGUCGGUAAGGUGAUAUGAACCGUUAUAACCGGCGAUUUCCGAAUGGGGAAACCCAGUGUGAUUCGUCACACUAUCAUUAACUGAAUCCAUAGGUUAAUGAGGCGAACCGGGGGAACUGAAACAUCUAAGUACCCCGAGGAAAAGAAAUCAACCGAGAUUCCCCCAGUAGCGGCGAGCGAACGGGGAGCAGCCCAGAGCCUGAAUUAGUGUGUGUGUUAGUGGAAGCGUCUGGAAAGGCGCGCGAUACAGGGUGACAGCCCCGUACACAAAAAUGCACAUACUGUGAGCUCGAUGAGUAGGGCGGGACACGUGGUAUCCUGUCUGAAUAUGGGGGGACCAUCCUCCAAGGCUAAAUACUCCUGACUGACCGAUAGUGAACCAGUACCGUGAGGGAAAGGCGAAAAGAACCCCGGCGAGGGGAGUGAAAAAGAACCUGAAACCGUGUACGUACAAGCAGUGGGAGCCUCUUUAUGGGGUGACUGCGUACCUUUUGUAUAAUGGGUCAGCGACUUAUAUUCUGUAGCAAGGUUAACCGAAUAGGGGAGCCGAAGGGAAACCGAGUCUUAACUGGGCGUUAAGUUGCAGGGUAUAGACCCGAAACCCGGUGAUCUAGCCAUGGGCAGGUUGAAGGUUGGGUAACACUAACUGGAGGACCGAACCGACUAAUGUUGAAAAAUUAGCGGAUGACUUGUGGCUGGGGGUGAAAGGCCAAUCAAACCGGGAGAUAGCUGGUUCUCCCCGAAAGCUAUUUAGGUAGCGCCUCGUGAAUUCAUCUCCGGGGGUAGAGCACUGUUUCGGCAAGGGGGUCAUCCCGACUUACCAACCCGAUGCAAACUGCGAAUACCGGAGAAUGUUAUCACGGGAGACACACGGCGGGUGCUAACGUCCGUCGUGAAGAGGGAAACAACCCAGACCGCCAGCUAAGGUCCCAAAGUCAUGGUUAAGUGGGAAACGAUGUGGGAAGGCCCAGACAGCCAGGAUGUUGGCUUAGAAGCAGCCAUCAUUUAAAGAAAGCGUAAUAGCUCACUGGUCGAGUCGGCCUGCGCGGAAGAUGUAACGGGGCUAAACCAUGCAC
rnacentral:rRNA from 1 species